rnacentral:rRNA from 1 species
GGGAAUUUUCCGCAAUGGGCGAAAGCCUGACGGAGCAAUACCGCGUGAGGGAAGACUGCCUAUGGGUUGUAAACCUCUUUUUUCAGGGAGGAAUAAAAUGACGUGUACCUGAAGAAUAAGCAUCGGCUAACUCCGUGCCAGCAGCCGCGGUAAGACGGAGGAUGCAAGUGUUAUCCGGAAUCACUGGGCGUAAAGCGUCUGUAGGUGGUUUAAUAAGUCAACUGUUAAAUCUUGAGGCUCAACUUCAAAAUCGCAGUCGAAACUAUUAGACUAGAGUAUAGUAGAGGUAAAGGGAAUUUCCAGUGGAGCGGUGAAAUGCGUAGAUAUUGGAAAGAACACCGAUGGCGAAAGCACUUUACUGGGCUAUUACUAACACUCAGAGACGAAAGCUAGGGUAGCAAAUGGGAUUAGAUACCCCAGUAGUCA